AUGGGCGCAAGCNUGAUGCAGCGACGCCGCGUCGAGGGAUGACGGCUCUUCGGGUUGUAAACCCUCUGUAGCAUCGAAAAAACCAAAAGUGACGGUAGGUGCAGAGAAAGCCGCCGGCCUAACUACGUGCCAGCCAGCCGCGGUAAUACGUAGGGCGCCGAGCGUGUCCCGGAAUUAUUGGGCGUAAAGAGCUUUGUAGGCGGUUGGUCGCGUCUGCUGUGAAAGGCUGGGGCUUAACCCUGGUUUUGCAGUGGGUACGGGCUAACUAGAGUGCAGUAGGGGAGACUGGAAUUCCUGGUGUAGCGGUGGAAUGCGCAGAUAUCAGGAGGAACACCGAUGGCGAAGGCAGGUCUCUGGGCUGUAACUGACGCUGAGAAGCGAAAGCAUGGGGAGCGAACAGGAUUAGAUACCCUGGUAGUCCAUGCCGUAAACGUUGGGCACUAGGUGUGGGGGACAUUCCACGUUUUCCGCGCCGUAGCUAACGCAUUAAGUGCCCCGCCUGGGGAGUACGGCCGCAAGGCUAAAAACUCAAAGAAAAUUGACGGGGGCCCGCACAAGGCGGCGGAGCAUGCGGAUUAAUUCGAUGCAAACGCGAAGAACCUUACCAAGGCUUGACAUAUACUGGACUGCGUCAGAGAUGGCGUUUCCCUUCGGGGCUGGUAUACAGGUGGUGCAUGGUUGUCGUCAGCUCGUGUCGUGAGAUGUUGGGUUAAGUCCCGCAACGAGCGCGAACCCUCGUUCUAUGUUGCCAGCACGUGAUGGUGGGGACUCAUAGGAGACUGCCGGGGUCGAACUCGGAGGAAGGUGGGGAUGACGUCGAAAUCAUCGAUGCCCCUUAUGUCUUGGGCUUCGACGCAUGCUACGAAUGGCCGGUACAGAGGGUUGCGAUACUGUGAGGUGGAGCUAAUCCCUAAAAGCCGGUCUCGGUUCGGAUUGGGGUUCUGCGAACUCGAACCCCGUGAAAGUUCGGAAGUCGCUAGGAAUCGCGGAAUCGGGCGAACGCUGCGGUAAAGACGUUUCCCGGGCCAUGGAGACGCC
rnacentral:rRNA from 1 species